GGGAGGGGGGCUGCGCCAAUCGGCGGCGGCGGAGGUGGGGGGGGACGGCCAGGGGGGGAACGGCUGAUGUCACCGGGGCCGGUCCGGCUCGAUGGGGCGGGAGGACGGGGGGGUCGACGGCCGGCAGCGGCGCUGGGAGCCCGGCGGGGGGGCGCGGUAGGGGGGAGGGACUUUUGUCAAAUCCAUAAUAAAAUGUAACAAUGACAGCGCCGGGAACAGCUGUUGGGAGGGCGGGACGGGACGGGGACGGGACGAAACAGGGGCCCGACGCCGCAAAGCCCUGGGGGAGGCCUCGCUGCCCAGCUCCUGCCAGCACGUCGGUGUUUCCCCGUGUCCCGUCCCGUCCCGCCCCGCCGGGAAGCGCUCAGCCCCGGCCCCGCCACACGUACCGGGCAGCCGGCGCGCUUUCCCCGGCGGGUGCCCCCUCCUGCCCCCAGUCCGGUCGUCAUCUCCCCCUUAUGUGCUGCAAAAGGAGGGGAAGAAAAAAGUUAUUUCGGUCACCCCAUUCCCCACGAGUGAAUUUCUCCGCGGAAGUCGCCGGGCGGUGCCGGACAGCGCCGGUCUCAGCAGGGUCUCUUGGCUCCGGCCCUGCAGCGCCCGGGAGAAGACGACAGAAGAGCCCGCAAAUCCUACCCCCAAAUAACCUGCAGCAAGACGGGAGCAGGAGAAGGGAGAGAAAGAAAGAAAAAAGACAUCAACAAAAAAAUACAUUUUAAAAAAUUGACUUUCGGAAAUGCCCACCGCCACCCUAUGCGCCGCGCCCGGUUCCCCGACGACCCCCCUUGCCCCGACAGUUCCGUGCAACAGGGUCGGGGCUUUCUCCCACUGGGGUAAAUCCCUCCGAUACGCCCCCCCCCCCCCGACCUCGUUGCCUUUGUUGUAUUAUUUUUACACCCGUGUGUUUCCCAGCUGGCCCGGCAAGCCUCAACCAUCCGUUAAAUAUGUAUUUAAAACGUUAAGAAGUGAAGCGUGGAAAUGUGUUUCCCAACGGUUACGGAGAUGAUCCGUAACGGGUCAAUUAGGAAAAUCUGUCCCAGCGACAGCCGGGCUCACCGCCGCCCGCCGGCCGGCGUGUGUCCCGCUGCCACCCGGGCGGCCCCCGGCCUGGCCACCAGGGACUUGCUCCUAGCUCCCCCCCGCCCCCGGCCGGCCGGGCAGAGCGGCCGCCCCGGUUCUCCUUUUCCGCACCUGCUUGCGGGGCUGCGGAGUCCGUCCGGGGGGAGGCGGGUGCGACAUCCCUUCCCUCGGGCGGAUAGAGGGGUAAGGCGGGGGAAACUGGGGCUGAGCCCUGGAGGUGAGCAGCGGGACGGGGAGGCAGUGGGGGGACACGUCUGUGCAAACUUUGCAUUUAUUUCGUGGUCGGGAAGCAGUGAGGCGGCAGCGGGAAGCCUGCCUCUGCCUUUUGACUGAUGGCUCUAUACGGCGCAUUGUUGGAACCGCAUAAAACAGGGCAACAACGAGCACAACUAAUUAAGCCCCGGCGCCUUUCCCCCGGCCGCCGGCUCCUGGUAGGGCCCGGCCCUGGGAGAGGGAACGGGCACCGGCCGGGCCAGGCGGGGCUGCGGGGCGGGAGCAGUCGCCCCCGGGCUGCGAUGCUGUGUCGGAAACGAAGAAAACGCCGGCAUCGCUUGUCUCCCCUCCGCCUCCCAGGGCUCGAGAGGAAACCCCACGCCACCGCCUCCAAGGAGAAAACAAGAUCUGUGUCCUUAACGGGGGAGCAAUUUAUUUGAUUAUCACUGUGUGUCUGUCUGUCGGGACGUGAACUCUGUCCCACCUGCGCAGCCUGCGGGGCUCCUUGCACCGGCCGGCAUGGAGUUUGUGCAGGGCCAGGACCGGAGCCGUCCGAGGCGGUAGCGGCGGGGCGGUGCUUCUCUGCCGUCCUCGUCAGAAGAAGAGGGGUUGCAAGAAGGAAGGAGGGUGAUCUGUGAAAUGUUAAAUUAAAUGUCGCACAUCCCCUACUCGAUACAGUAAGGCUCAGUAUUGCAAAAAACCUCUUAUCGGCGCGUCCCGGGAAGGUGGCUCCAAAGGGUUCCCAGAGAAGCCCUUCACCCCAACUUGCUUUUGACACUAAAAUGUGGAGCAGAACCUAUUUUCUUACCUAUGAAUAUUUUUUUCUUUUCUUAAAUCUCGACUGUAGGCAACUAAGACAUGAAUGAAGGCAAUCAGGGAACGUGAUGAAGUGAUAACUUAAUAAAAACCAGACUGUUGCUUUCAUGUUGAAAAUCACUUGGAACGUCAUUAAGUUAUUGUUUGAGAUUGUUAUUGCCUAUAUUCCCUCAAGGCCUGCGGCCCAGGGUCCUUUCUUCAUGGAUACCACACAGCUACACUGGAAGUGUCCCUGCCUGGCUCUAAGGAAUCUGAGGCAUCUGAAGGAUGAAGAGCUUGUGUGACCACAGUUCCUUGAGGACUGGCAGCUGAAAACAGUUUUAAUGAUGCCUUGGAAGCUCUAAGGCCUGAUCUCCAGUGCUGUCUGCAUCCCAUCUGUUAGCAGUGCUGCAGGCUCAAAAUUGGGCUUUGCAGCUCCAGAGCCUUUUAAACUUUUUGGUUGAGAGUGGGGUCUGCAGGGAGUCCACUGAGGUCACAGCUGCCCCCUCCCUGUGCACACCAAGAGCACAAAUCUCAGAACCUGACACUGAGGACAUGAGGAUGUGGGGAUUGCCUUCAAGCUCUCUGCCCACUGCUAAAGGUAUGAGGGGAGUCUCAGGGCGGGGAAUAAUAUCUUGACGGUUCAAGUUUGUGCCCCUCCCCUUCCCCCGUCCCCCCCUUUUCUUUCUGGAUGUAUCUGAAUCAGAUAUAAAUUUAUUUUUUGCUGUUGUUCUGGGCUUACAAAUGAAGUCUAGCCUGUGGGCUUUGGUGCCAUUCUACCUUCCCAACUAACAUAUUUGAUACCUGUGAUCUCCAAGAAAGGGACCCAAAUUAAUUUUUAUUCUGGUGGGAUUAUUUUUUUUCCCCUGGUCCUAGAUUUGUUUUUGUUAACACUUGUUUGAUUGAAAUGUUGGAGGCACAUGCUCUUUGCCAAAAACUCAGCAUGUCUUCCCAUUCAAUCAGAGACUGGAAAAGCUUCUAAUCUUCACAGGAGUCACCCAGAGGGAAGUCUCAGAAAUACCAGAGCUGAUGUUUGUGAUAUUUUCAGGAUUAAAUAUAUGCAGGAAAUAGGCCACCUCCUAUUCUCAUCUAGCAGAAAAAACCCUCUUUAUUUAUAAACUUUUGUCACUUAUGAGCCUGAUGUCAUCUAUAAGAAAAUAAUUAGAUUAAUAUUUAAAACCCAGAAUAGAUUCUGUGUGUUAGAUCUUUAGGGCUCAGAUGUCCCUCUCCUCAAAUGUGGAUGUUUACUCCAACAGGACAAGUCUCACACAUGAGAUUAACAGGGACUGACUUUCUCUGACUGUAAGAUGUUACCAAAACCACUUCAUCUAGACUCUUUGGUAUAGGUGUAAGACAUACAAGAUUUCUGACCAUCAUUUGUUGUGUUUAAUGCAAGAUACCAUACUUUUUACAAGAUAUGGUAUUACUUCGUUUAAUAAACUUUAAGGAUGCAACUGAUAACUUGACACAACUAUUGUAUUGCCAUAAUGAAAAGCAACGCCUAGAGCUUAUAAAACACCAUGAUAGCUAUUUCAUUUUAACAGCUACUAUGUCUUACCAACAAUUUCACUUCUCAUUAACAAUAUAAUCUACUAUGGGCAAAUGAGGAGAAAGAGGCAGAAACUCCAAGAAAGCACUGUGCUGGCAGGCCCAUGUGCUGCCCCACUCGCAGCAGAGGUGCCUAGGCUCAGAGGCAGGAGCAUGUCUGCUGCCGGGACCUCCUGUCCUGGGCAUCCUGGGCAGGCAUCCAUUGACUGCCAUGUCAUGUCAGUCUUCGGGCUCUUCUCAGGACUGUGGUGAUGCUGAGGAUCUUCUUGUGCUGGUAGUAAAGAAAUACCUGUGUGACAUAAUUUCUAUGUGGCUGGUGGAGCAUUUCCAGUCUGCAGAGGAGUGGGAGCUCUACAGAAAUGUCACCUCACUAACCAGAGGUCCACUGUGCAUCACGCCUUUCCUCAGACUCAGAGGUGAAAACCUGCCAGCCUCAGCUGGUAGUCCCAGUACCAGCCUGUUACAGAAGAGAUACAAUGCUAGUAAAAAAUCCCAGAAUCACAGAAUGGUUGGGGUUGGAAGGGACUUCUGGAGAUCAUCUGGUUCAACCCACAUGCUAAAGCAGGUUCACCCAGAGCAGAUUGCACAGGAAUGUGUCCAUAUGGGUUUUGAAUGUCUCCAGAGAAGCAGAUUCCACAACCUCUCUGGGCAGCCUGUUCCAGUGCUCUGGCACCCUCAAAGUAAAGUUUUUCCUCGUAAUCAGAUGGAACCUCCUGUGCUUCAGCCUGUUUCUGUUGUCCCUCAUCCUAUUGUUGGGCACCACUGAAAGGAGGCUGGUCCCAUUCUCUUGACACCCGCCCUUGAGAUAUUUAUAAACAUUUACGAGAACCCCUCUUAGCCUUUUCUAGGCUGAACAGACCCAGCUCUCUCAGUCUCUCCUCAUAAGAAAGAUGCUCCAGACCCAUAAUUAUCUUUGUAGUCCUCUGCUGGGCUCUUCUAGUAAUUCUUUGUCCUUCUUAAGCUGGGGAUGUGUUUAACUUCCCUUGGGCUUGAAGCUGUCCCUCAUGUGCAAAUCCUUCCAAAGUGAGCUCCUGUGAUGGGGAAGGAAUGAUGGGAACAUACGAGAGAAGCAAACCGAUGCAACUGCUUUUAAAUGGGCAGAGGCAAGGAAACAGAUCCAGAGAAGGAUCUACCAAUCUAUGCAGAUCUUUGCCCAGCCACAUGCAGAUUUCUGUCUCACAGGUGACAGAACUGGGGACCCCUCUGAACUGGGGGUUUUGCUUUGCACUGGCCAAGCUGGACACCAACAGGACUGAAAAAACACCCAUGUGUUCAGAUCGGUGAGCUGGUCCAAACUGCCUUCAUCCCCUGGUCUCAGCAGCAGGGCUUGAGGGUGGGAAAGAAAUAUAUGUGUUAUAUACCCUGUUUCGCUGACAAUAAGACCUACUACAAAAAUAAGCCCUAGCAUGAUUUUUCAGGAUUUUGAGUGUGCUCAAAAUUGAAGCCCCACUCCAAAAAUAAGCCCUAGUUAAAGUUCAUUAAAAAAGUAAGCAGCUUUUGGAGCAAAAAUUAAUAUAAGACCCUGACUUAUUUUAAGGAAAACAGGGUAGAUGGAGGGGCAAAGAAAGCCCAAGCACAACUGAGUGUAUCUCCUCUGCAAAAAAAUGGAGUGUCUUUUUCAAGGCUGAAUUUAUUUUACAAAAUUGUAUUUUACUAUCAUUUUUUUCAGGAAAUCUGCAUAUAACACAACAAGGACUUUCAGUUCUCAUUUUGAGUUUCCUGGGCAGCAUUUUACACAUUUUGCCAUUUGUCUGUAUGUGGCACUUUUAUACUACCUUUCAUCUCUUCUCGACUUUCCAUUUCUCUAUUUUGACUGAGAGGUCUUUAGAAAUAAGGGAGUCCUAGCAGAGUUUUAAUGAUGAGCAGAAGAUGAAAACGUGGGUAUGUUUUGCUUCCCACGUGAAUACCCACUAGAUAAAAAAUCGUCCUCAGGUUAUUCUCUUGUCCUGUCCCUACCCUGUGCUCAGGAGAAAAAUGUUUUAAAAAGCCUGAUUGCUAAUAGGUUACUGCAUCUGCCUGGCUGAGCCCCAAGGAUUUUGUUGCUGUGUACUCAUGAUGGAAAUGUUUCCCCGUCUGAAGGUGUCAGUGCCCUUCAGAAUGGGUUUCACACAGUGGAAACAAUGAUUGGGUUCAUGCUGUACCACUUGCUGGUCAUGAGCAUUUCCCUGCCAGAAUUAUGGGAAACCCUUGAUCCUUCGGAUGGAGAAGUUCUUAGCCAGUCUGUUCUCUAACCUGGAAAAAAAAAAAAAAAGAAAAAAAAUUAAAAAAGGCUCAGAUGCAAAAGUCCACAUUAGCAAUUUGGUGAGAUUUCUCCUUAAUAUGUUGAGAGUUUUGGGGGUUUGUCGCCUUCUCGUGUUGUACUGGGACUUGCAUUAAUGGAGUAACAGCUGAACUGAGCGUUUGGAAUGAACAUAUCAAAGCCCUGAGUCUGUACAACACCAUCUCUCAUCGCCCAUGAUGUCAAAGGUUGCGGCGAACAUCUCCUUCGCUUUCUGGGUGGCAUUGUUCAGGAGAGUGGCCCCAGCAGAUGGCCCAAAAAACACACCUCGGCCAAGCAAAGAGGGACCACAUGUGACGAACCAUAGAUGUCUCAUUAGCAAAUGGAGAAAAAAAGCAAGGAUGAGAAAAAAAGAUAAAAAGAAUACACAAAGACAUUUACAUAUUUACAUUGUUUCUCCCUCAUUUCCAAUUCUCCUUUUGCUGAAGUGUCAGUGGGCUCGCUUUUCUCCUUCUGUUUGUAUGUUUACUUGUGCUAAAUAGAUUAUGAUAAUCAGGCACAUAAAUGCAUGCAACUGUUAUUAUGGCAUUUUAAUCACAGAGUUUUUCACUGGAAGCCUUCAUUAGAAUUCUCAUAAUCUCACUUGUUAGUGUAACAAACAGUAAUAAAUGCCAAGGAACUGGGAUUAAGUCAGAGACAUUCAGACAUUAAAGGAGGAAUAUGGAAA